rnacentral:rRNA from 1 species
GGAAAGGCGCGCGAUACAGGGUGACAGCCCCGUACACAAAAAUGCACAUGCUGUGAGCUCGAUGAGUAGGGCGGGACACGUGGUAUCCUGUCUGAAUAUGGGGGGACCAUCCUCCAAGGCUAAAUACUCCUGACUGACCGAUAGUGAACCAGUACCGUGAGGGAAAGGCGAAAAGAACCCCGGCGAGGGGAGUGAAAAAGAACCUGAAACCGUGUACGUACAAGCAGUGGGAGCACGCUUAGGCGUGUGACUGCGUACCUUUUGUAUAAUGGGUCAGCGACUUAUAUUCUGUAGCAAGGUUAACCGAAUAGGGGAGCCGAAGGGAAACCGAGUCUUAACUGGGCGUUAAGUUGCAGGGUAUAGACCCGAAACCCGGUGAUCUAGCCAUGGGCAGGUUGAAGGUUGGGUAACACUAACUGGAGGACCGAACCGACUAAUGUUGAAAAAUUAGCGGAUGACUUGUGGCUGGGGGUGAAAGGCCAAUCAAACCGGGAGAUAGCUGGUUCUCCCCGAAAGCUAUUUAGGUAGCGCCUCGUGAAUUCAUCUCCGGGGGUAGAGCACUGUUUCGGCAAGGGGGUCAUCCCGACUUACCAACCCGAUGCAAACUGCGAAUACCGGAGAAUGUUAUCACGGGAGACACACGGCGGGUGCUAACGUCCGUCGUGAAGAGGGAAACAACCCAGACCGCCAGCUAAGGUCCCAAAGUCAUGGUUAAGUGGGAAACGAUGUGGGAAGGCCCAGACAGCCAGGAUGUUGGCUUAGAAGCAGCCAUCAUUUAAAGAAAGCGUAAUAGCUCACUGGUCGAGUCGGCCUGCGCGGAAGAUGUAACGGGGCUAAACCAUGCACCGAAGCUGCGGCAGCGACGCUGAUGCGUUGUUGGGUAGGGGAGCGUUCUGUAAGCCUGCGAAGGUGUGCUGUGAGGCAUGCUGGAGGUAUCAGAAGUGCGAAUGCUGACAUAAGUAACGAUAAAGCGGGUGAAAAGCCCGCUCGCCGGAAGACCAAGGGUUCCUGUCCAACGUUAAUCGGGGCAGGGUGAGUCGACCCCUAAGGCGAGGCCGAAAGGCGUAGUCGAUGGGAAACAGGUUAAUAUUCCUGUACUUGGUGUUACUGCGAAGGGGGGACGGAGAAGGCUAUGUUGGCCGGGCGACGGUUGUCCCGGUUUAAGCGUGUAGGCUGGU